GCGCGCCGGCCGCCCGCGCGCCGGCCGCCCGUUGCCCUGGCAACCGUCGUGCCGCGUCUUCCUGAGGGAGCUCCUGUCAGCCCACUGAUCCCACCACCCGCUCCCUACUGCCCUGCGGUCUUCGCGUGGGCUCGGAGACUGAGGGACAACAAAAAUGGCGGAGGGGAGCCAGACGGCGCCUGAGGCAGGCAAUGAUAUGGGAAAUGAUGAUGCCAUCGGAGGGAAUGUGAGCAAAUAUAUAGUGCUUCCAACUGGAUAUUGUGGACAGCCCAAGAAAGGACAUCUUCUCUUUGAUGCUUGCUUUGAAAGUGGUAAGUAUAUUAAAGGCUUUUCCUUUUAAGUUUAUCUGGUAAGACAUUUUUUUUUUCAGAAUUG
rnacentral:lncRNA from 1 species